CAAUAGCGUAUAUUAAAGUUGUUGCAGUUAGAACGCUCGUAGUCGGAUUUCGGGGCGGGCCGGCCGGUCUGCCGAUGGGUAUGCACUGGUCGGCGCGUCCUUCCUUCCGGAGACCGUCCCUACUCUUAACUGAGCGGGGGCGGGAGACGGGACUUUUACUUUGAAAAAAUCAGAGUGUUUCAAGCAGGCAGCUCGCUCUUGCAUGGAUUAGCAUGGGAUAAUGAAAUAGGACUUUGGUGCUAUUUUGUUGGUUUCGAACACCGAAGUAAUGAUGAGAAGGGACAGUCAGGGGCACUCGUAUUCCGCCGAGAGAGGUGAAAUUCUCAGACCAGCGGAAGACGAACCACUGCGAAAGCAUUUGCCAGGGAUGUUUUCACUG
rnacentral:rRNA from 1 species